CCUACGGGAGGCUGCAGUGGGGAAUCUUGGACAAUGGGCGCAACCUGAUCCAGCCAUGCCGCGUGAGUGAAGAAGGCCUUAGGGUUGUAAAGCUCUUUUGGCAGGGACGCGGUACCUGCAGAAUAAGCCCCGGCAAACUUCGUGCCAGCAGCCGCGGUAAUACGAAGGGGGCUAGCGUUGUUCGGAUUUACUGGGCGUAAAGCGCACGUAGGCGGAUUGUUAAGUCAGGGGUGAAAUCCCGGAGCUCAACUCCGAACUGCCUUUGAUACUGGCAAUCUUGAGGCUGGAAGAGGUUGGUAGAAUUCCCAGUGUAGAGGUGAAAUUCGUAGAUAUUGGGAAGAAUACCAGUGGCGAAGGCGGCCAACUGGUCAGUCUGACGCUGAGGUGCGAAACGUGGGGAGCAAACAGGAUUAGAUACCCUUGUAGUC
rnacentral:rRNA from 1 species